ACCAAACAGGUUGCACCUGUGGUUUAGACACUCCAUUCAGUAUGACGACAUGGCGUGCAACGUUGAAACAAACAGAAAACGUUCAACAACCACCUGGGAAACAACAGGAUCAGGGUGGCCCGGGGGGAGUGGGAUUUGUGUUGCACCGACUUUGCCACUGCUAAAGGUCACAGCCAUGUUGAUGAAGCUACAUGAAGAACGGCGCGUUCCACUUUGGGGAAAUGGCUUUUUCACCGUCAACCGUCACGCUGCGCAGCCACUGUGGAAUCUAACUAAGCACGUGCAUGUUCUGCACAGUUGAAUGGAUUGGGUUUUUACGAUUUUGUUUUGGGCUGUUAAGUUAGGAUAAGACAAGCACACUGUGAACAUGCGCCACGCCACAGCUUCUCAUGUUUCCCACACGGGAGAUGCGACCUUUCAGCAUUGCCACGAUCGCCGGCUUCCUUGUUCUCUUCCUCAGACGAUGCGUGGAGGGGAAAGGAUGAAUUCCGCUCAGGAGAAUUUCCUGUUGAUGUCUGCCGUAUUUUUCUUUCAUCAACCACUGGGUCAUUUCUCAUCCAAUACAGAUAACAGUAACCCGUGUGAAUUAGUCAAACAGUAGGGUCAGGGGGAUCAUCAGGUUUUGUUCUCUGAGUAUUUGUACUGAAUAUGGUCCAAUAACACAGUCUUCUCAUACCAAUGUAGCCAACCUACAUGGAUGUGGUUCGGCAAAGGAUUGCUCGAUCUGCUGCCACACAGAUUCAACCUGACCUCCAGACACAAUGUACAAUAGUUUCAACUUGCACCAUUUGUUGCCAACUCUAAGAGACCUACUGCUAAGAGAGUGACACAUGAAAGCCAGACUGCAGUUUUCUGAAACACACCUGAACGUGCCACAAUCCAUCUGGGAGAAUGUCCUGUGAACAGACGAGACUGAAUUAGAGCUUUUAGGUAAAGCAUACCAUCUCUGUGUUUGCGCAAAACAAAAUUAAACCUUUAAACGAAACAAAACAAUUUCCAGCUUUCAUCUCAGUGGGCGUGGCUGGUACUGGGUAGAGGUCACAUUCAGGUGUGCUUCUAGCUCAACGCCUGUUUAUGUAAAGGUUUUUACCAGAGGCUGUAGCUGUGAACAUGGGGUGAUGGUGAGUUACUUGAAUAGCCACAGAUGUAAUGAUGUUUUGCCAGCCUUGAAUGUCAAUGUAAUAUGCUAAUAAACUAAUCUAC